AAACCAGCACCUCAAGUGGUCAGGAUGAUUAUUGGGCCUAAAGCAUCCGUAGCCGGCUCUGUAAGUUUUCGGUUAAAUCUGUACGCUCAACGUACAGGCUGCCGGGAAUACUGCAGAGCUAGGGAGUGGGAGAGGUAGACGGUACUCGGGAGGAAGUGGUAAAAUGCUUUGAUCUCUCGAUGACCACCUGUGGCGAAGGCGGUCUACCAGAACACGGCCGACGGUGAGGGAUGAAAGCUGGGGGAGCAAACCGGAUUAGAAACCCCAGUAGUCC
rnacentral:rRNA from 1 species